rnacentral:lncRNA from 1 species
CUUUGAUAUUUUACUAAAAGGUUCUUUAGAUGGUUUCCAACAAGUUUUGUAUUCAAGGUUGUAGCUGAAUCAAGGCCUAGGAAGGUGAUAAACUAUAAUUCUCAGAGAGUUUUAUUCUGGUAUUUUCAUAGACAGAGCAGGAAUGAGCAGAUUAUAUCUCUUAAAACAUUGAUCCAAUUCCAUUGAAAUUUCACCACAAUGUUAUAUUCUCAGUGAUUAACAACUUUGGUUUAAGGGGGCCUACCAGAAAAAGUUCUUAUGGGGGUCGAAAAAAUUAAAAUCCCAGCAGGUGUGCAAACUGCUUUUUUUUCCAGCAAAUAGGGGGUUACUAACCUGAACAUAUCUCAAAACCUACUUGGCCAAUUCUUACCAAAUUUUACCAGCAUUUGUUUAAGAGAUUUUACACGACUGUCCUGUAGAGAGUUUCUGGAGCAAACAAAAGUACACAACUCAAAAGAACUCAACGAGACCAAAGUUGUUGAACAAGGUAGCUAGAUGAUCCUUAGCACGUACGAGCUUUUAGACGAACACAUGUGCAAGAUCAGUUUUCAUCUUUUAAGUUGCCACCUCUUUGUAGCUCCAGAAGAAAACUCUACCAGCUUUGAUUUGAUAUAAGGAUCUUCCGAUUAGAUAUGCAGGGAUUCGAAUCGUGUCUGAUUAGAAGCUCAGAUCGUCAACGUCGAGUCUCCACCAAUCGAAUUUAUUAUUACCUUACGGCAGAUCGGGCCAGUGCUACAUCAAGUGAUAUCAGGAUUCUAGAUUACCCAUGAGGUAUACUAUCGUGUUUCCCCUUUAUCUAAAGUUCGUGUCCAACACCUAUAGUCCACAAAAAGCCCAAAAAUAUUUACACUUUCC